CAGUCGCCGCGGUAAUACGUAGGUGGCAAGCGUUGUCCGGAAUUAUUGGGCGUAAAGCGCGCGCAGGCGGAUAGGUCAGUCUGUCUUAAAAGUUCGGGGCUUAACCCCGUGAUGGGAUGGAAACUGCCAAUCUAGAGUAUCGGAGAGGAAAGUGGAAUUCCUAGUGUAGCGGUGAAAUGCGUAGAUAUUAGGAAGAACACCAGUGGCGAAGGCGACUCCCUGGACGAAAACUGACGCUGAGGCGCGAAAGCCAGGGGAGCGAACGGGAUUAGAUACCCCUGUAGUCCCUGUCUCUUAUAAA
rnacentral:rRNA from 1 species